rnacentral:rRNA from 2 species
AUUAGAGGAAGUAAAAGUCGUAACAAGGUCUCCGUUGGUGAACCAGCGGAGGGAUCAUUA